CCUACGGGUGGCAGCAGUAGGGAAUAUUCGGCAAUGGGGGGAACCCUGACCGAGCAACGCCGCGUGAACGAAGAAGUUAUUCGUAAUGUAAAGUUCUUUUAACAGGGAAGAAAGAGAAAUUUGAUGGUACCUGAAGAAUAAGCUCCGGCUAACUACGUGCCAGCAGCCGCGGUAUUACGUAGGGAGCGAGCGUUAUCCGGAAUUAUUGGGCGAAAGGGGUGCGUAGAUGGGAUAGUAAGUAGUUUGUAAAAAUGCGGGGCUCAACCCAGUAGGGCAAAAGAUACUGCGAAGCUAGAGUAUGACAGAGGGGAGUGGAACUACAGGUGUAGCGGUAAAAUGCGUAGAGAUGUGGAGGAACACCGGGGGCGAAGGCGGCUUGUUGGGUAGGUACUGACGUUGAGGUGCGAAAGCGUGGGGAGCAAACAGGAUUAGAUACCCGUGUAGUC
rnacentral:rRNA from 1 species